GUGACAAACAGGGCACUUUCAGGGAACUGGCUGUCACCAGGCACCUGCCUAAAGCAGUUUGAGUGUGCAGUUUUCCUGGGAAGAUACUCCAUUCUGUUGCUCUGUGUCCUCACCGAAGACUCCUGGCAUAAUCCCAGGUGCUUCCACCAGGCAGGUGUGAGAACCAAGGUCCAGGGAGACAGAGUGGGCUGUCAAAGUCAUGCAGUUAUGAAGUCAAGAGAUAAGCUCAUCCUGUCUUUUAGCCGCAGGUCCAAGAAUGUUCACUGCUCACCAGCCCCAAGCACCCCGUGAUGCGUUACACAGGAAAUCGCUGCAUGUUGCAAUGCUUCCUAGAAAGGGGAACCUGUUACGCCCAAACUCUCAGAAGUUUCCAGAAGAUAGGACUACCAGGAGUAGGCCCAAGGUCAGAUCACUGCCCUGAAGUGGGUGAAGGAAUGGGGCUCAGGGAGGACCUCGGGGUUGAGAGUGAAACUCAGGUCUCCUGACUGGAAGUAGCACAGUCCCUGCCCCACCCUGUGGUGCUGGUCCCCAGAGACAAUCAGACAUGCCGAGGCCAUUAGCGGGGCCUCAAGAGCUUUCCAGGCUAGCACUCAGAGCAUGGGCCUUCCAGGCCCUCAGCCGCCUCUCAGAGCCAGAUGGGACCCCCACAGCCUCGGGACAGGGGGCGCUGGCAAAGUCCCGAGGAAGCCCAGCAGGAAGACUCAGCCCAGGAAACUCUGAGCAACGCUGGCAGACCACAGGCCCCUGGGCUUCCUGCAUGCUCCACACAGGCUGCCCAUCAACGUCAACAGGCUUGUGAAACUCGGCCGGGUGGGCAGUGGGAACCCAAAGGCCUCCAGGGGUCACUGGCUGUGGUUGUCCUGUUCCCCUGCAGCCCUGGAGAAGGUGGCUUUCUAGACUGCUGUCGGCACUGUAAUGAGAUCCAGCUGCUGCAGGGGACAGGCACCUGAUGGAGGCCUGACCAUCCCCUCAGACCUCGGGCUCCUCCGGCAGGCAUGUAUCUCCUAGGUUGCCCACAGACACAGCAGUGGGAUCUCUGGUUGAAGGACUUUGGAGGGUAAGACAUGAGGGUUAUUAUCAGCCUGGUUCUUAGCUUAGCUGUAGGACUUUGGAAAAGGCAGUGAGCCUCUGUAUGCCUCAGUUUUCUCAUCUUUAAAAUGGUGACAAAGGCACCUACCUUGUUGUGAAGAUUAAAUACGAUAAUGUAUAUGGGAGGUUUGGUAAGGACCUGGCACCUAGUAAGCUCUGAGCAGUUGUCUUAGCAACCAUGACGACAGCCAACAGAAAUUUGAGGUGUAAAUACCACUGCAUUUCUUUGAUUUUGUAAU